rnacentral:rRNA from 1 species
GGAUUGACGGACUGAAGGCUCUUUCUCGAUUCCGUGGAAAGUGGUGCAUGGCCGUUUUUGGUUGGUGGAUCGAUCCGUCUGGUUAAUUCCGUUAACGAACGAGACCUCGGCACUCCGAAUAGCGCGGCGGACGUCGCGGCCUCCGGGCCGUCUUCCGCACGAGCUUCUUAGAGGGACCGUCCCCCGCCGGGGAAGGAGGUGCGAGGCAACGACAGGUCUGUGAUGCCCUUAGAUGUUCUGGGCCGCACGCGCAUUACACUGACGCGUCCAACGGGUGACUCCCGACCCGAAGGGGCCGGGGAAUCCGCAAGGCGCGUCGUGAUGGGGAUUGAACGUUGCAAUUGUUGUUCACGAACGAGGAAUUCCUAGUAGGCGCGGGUCAUCAACCCGCGCCGAUUACGUCCCUGCCCUUUGUACACACC